rnacentral:rRNA from 1 species
AUUGAACGCUGGCGGCAGGCCUAACACAUGCAAGUCGAGCGAGCGGCGGACGGGGGAGUAAUGUCUGGGAAACUGCCUGAUGGAGGGGGGUAACUACUGGAAACGGUAGCUAAUACCGCAUACCAUCAGAUGUGCCCAGAUGGGAUUGGCUAGUAGGUGGGGUAACGGCUCACCUAGGCGACGAUCCCUAGCUGGUCUGAGAGGAUGACCAGCCACACUGGAACUGAGACACGGUCCAGACUCCUACGGGAGGCAGCAGUGGGGAAUAUUGCACAAUGGGCGCAAGCCUGAUGCAGCCAUGCCGCGUGUGUGAAGAAGGCCUUCGGGUUGUAAAGUACUUUCAGCGGGGAGGCGUUACCCGCAGAAGAAGCACCGGCUAACUCCGUGCCAGCAGCCGCGGUAAUUC